rnacentral:rRNA from 1 species
GACGAACGCUGGCGGCGUGCUUAACACAUGCAAGUCGAACGGAAAGGCCCUGCUUUUGUGGGGUGCUCGAGUGGCGAACGGGUGAGUAACACGUGAGUAACCUGCCCUUGACUUUGGGAUAACUUCAGGAAACUGGGGCUAAUACCGGAUAGGAGCUCCUGCUGCAUGGUGGGGGUUGGAAAGUUUCGGCGGUUGGGGAUGGACUCGCGGCUUAUCAGCUUGUUGGUGGGGUAGUUGCUUACCAAGGCUUUGACGGGUAGCCGGCCUGAGAGGGUGAACAGGCACAUUGGGACUGAGAGACGGCCCAGACUGCUACGGGAGGCAGUAGUGGGGAAUAUUGCACAAUGGGCGGGAGCCUGAGGCGGCGACGCCGCGUGCGGGAUGACGGCCUUCGGGUUGGGAACCGCUUUAGCCUGUGACGAAGCGUGAGUGACGGUAAUGGGUAAAGAAGCACCGGCUAACUACGUG